GCUGAACUUAAGCAUAUCAAUAAGCGGAGGAAAAGAAACUAACAAGGAUUCCCCUAGUAACUGCGAGUGAAGCGGGAAAAGCUCAAAUUUAAAAUCUGGCGGUCUAUGGCUGUCCGAGUUGUAAUCUAGAGAAGUAAUGCCCGCGCUGGACCGUGUACAAGUCUCCUGGAAUGGAGCGUCAUAGAGGGUGAGAAUCCCGUCUUUGACACGGACUACCAGGGCUUUGUGGUAUGCUCUCAAAGAGUCGAGUUGUUUGGGAAUGCAGCUCUAAAUGGGUGGUAAAUUCCAUCUAAAGCUAAAUAUUGGCGAGAGACCGAUAGCGAACAAGUACCGUGAGGGAAAGAUGAAAAGAACUUUGGAAAGAGAGUUAAACAGUACGUGAAAUUGCUGAAAGGGAAACGCUUGAAGUCAGUCGCGUUGACUAGAACUCAGCUUCACUUUUGUGGGGUGUACUUUUUAGUUGACGGGUCAGCAUCAAUUCUGACUGCUGGAAAAAGGCUUAGGGAAUGUGGCAGCUCCGGCUGUGUUAUAGCCCUUUGUCACAUACAGCUGUUGGGAUUGAGGAACUCAGCACGCCGCAAGGCCGGGUUUCGACCACGUUCGUGCUUAGGAUGCUGGCAUAAUGGCUUUAAGCGACCCGUCUUGAAACACGGACCAAGGAGUCUAACAUGCCUGCGAGUGUUUGGGUGGUAAACCCGAGCGCGUMMUGAAAGUGAAAGUUGAGAUCCCUGUCGUGGGGAGCAUCGACGCCCGGACCUGACCUUUUGUGACGGAUCCGCGGUAGAGCAUGUAUGUUGGGACCCGAAAGAUGGUGAACUAUGCCUGAAUAGGGUGAAGCCAGAGGAAACUCUGGUGGAGGCUCGUAGCGAUUCUGACGUGCAAAUCGAUCGUCAAAUUUGGGUAUAGGGGCGA
rnacentral:rRNA from 2 species